GUUAUACAAAAUACCCCUUGCUCAUUAAUAAAUAAUAGUCCUCUAUUAUUUCUACUCAAUUCCAACGGAUUACCCUAAAAAUCAAAUGGCAAGUCAGUUUCAAGAAGUCUUGGUUUUCUGCUCAAUCACUCCAAGAUGCUAAGGCUUUUUGAAAUAGAUUAUAUGAAUAUUCAGGUCAGUCUGUUUUCUGCAGUGACUCAUAAUUGGGAUUCAGACAGGACCAGACUUGUCUGCUGAUGUGGUAUGGCAGGCCUGCCAGAAGGCUUGCUUUGUUUUGUUGGUUGAAAAGGAAAGAGGCAGGCGCCCAAGUCCCAAAGGGAAGCAGCUGUAGGGUAAAGGGUUAGAAUUUCAGCGGCAUUCCUUGGGCAGCCCCGUGGGUGUGGGGUUGAGUCGAUGGAGAGAACAGCUGCAGGCAGAAGCUGAAGGAACUGUUUUUAUAGGGGCCUCUGUGUGACACCCUGAGACAUGAGGAUGUGGGCAGUGCCACGAUUAUGCCCAGGAAAGAAAACCAUGUGGAUAGCUGAGAUCUUCUGUGAAGAAAGGAAAAGACAAAAGGCCGUAGAUCCAAAACUUAUAGAAAAUCAACGUUUAGAAUUUCAACUGUGGAGGAAGGACCAAAAAAAUGCAAGAAGCAGGCAGACGCUUUACCAUCUGAGCCUCCAGGAAAGCUCUAGAAUGAAGAGGAGAAUGAAGAGACGAAGCCAAAGCAACAACACCACCCAGUUGUGGAUGUGACUGGUGAUAGAAGCAAGGUCCGAUCCUGUNNNNNNNNNNNNNNNNNNNNNNNNNNNNNNNNNNNNNNNNNNNNNNNNNNCAAAUUGGAAGUGGUCAAACAGGAGAUGGCAAGAGUGAACAUCGAUAUUUCACUGGAAGGGCAGGCAUGAAAUCAACCAGUGGGUGAUUUGGAAUCAAGGAAGGGGAAUGUGUGUGUUUUAAGAUGAGUAAUCUUUUUAUUAAUUUUUUUUUCCUUGCUUAAAAACAGUCCAUUUCUGUAUCUGACUGGGUCAGGUCUUAGUUGGGGGACAGGGGAGCUUCCAUUGCUAUGCAUGGACUCUCCAGUGGCACAUGGGCUUCAGCAUAGGCUCCAGAGCACAAGGGCUCAGUAGUUACUACGUGUGGGCUUAGUUGCCCCAUGGCAUUUCGGAUCUUUUCCCCAACCAGGGAUUGAACCCAUGUCCCCUGCUUUGCAAGGAGGAUUCUUAAUCACUGGACCAUCAGGGAAGUCCCAGAAAGUUCGUAAUCCUGUACUCUGAUCUGAUUACUCCAGGGGAGAAAAUGUUGAAGAGAGAAGGAAAAGACUAGUCCAUCAUCCUUGAGACAGAAAUCCCAGCACACACAGAGGGACUCUCAUUUGACAGGAAGGACAUUGCUUCCAUUAGAGA
rnacentral:lncRNA from 1 species